UAAGGAAUAUUGGUCAAUGGACGCAAGUCUGAACCAGCCAUGCCGCGUGAAGGAAGACGGCCCUACGGGCUGUAAACUUCUUUUGUACGGGAAAAAACCACCGGUCGUGAACCGGUGCUGAUGGUACCGUAAGAAUAAGCAUAGGCUAACUCCGUGCCAGCAGCCGCGGUAAUACGGAGGAUGCAAGCGUUAUCCGGAUUCAUUGGGUUUAAAGGGUGCGCAGGCGGAAUGAUAAGUCAGUGGUGAAAUCCUACGGCUCAACUGUAGAACUGCCAUUGAUACUGUUGUUCUUGAGUACACUUGGAGUGGGCGGAAUGUGUCAUGUAGCGGUGAAAUGCUUAGAUAUGAUACAGAACACCGAUCGCGAAGGCAGCUCACUAAGUUGUAACUGACGCUCAGGAACGAAAGCGUGGGGAGCAAACU
rnacentral:rRNA from 1 species